AGCGGCGGCAGCACCCUGACUUCCACUUUGUUCCAGGCUACCGGCUCCGCUUCCGGAACCUCAGGCUACAUCAAUAUCACUGACCUUAAAGGUGGGAGAGUGGCUUUCGGUGCUGAAGAUAACAAUGGGAAGCUCGAUUCUCUCUUUGUCAAGUCUUUGGUUGAGAUGCCUUACAACAUUUCCGUACUACAGAUCAGUCAGGUACUGAUUCAUAUGGAUUCAUUAUUAAUUUCUUCUUCUGUUUCAAAUUAUAUACGCUCUGCAUUUAAUAGUUUAACUUGGUAAUUAAUUUUUAUAAAUAAAAAACUUCAGCCGGUAUAAGUCGAUUAUUCGACGUUUCUGGUGGUUUGAAUAAGAUCUUUGAAAUGGAAAAUUAUUUUGAUAUGCUAUUAAAAGGGAUUACUGAUGAUUGUGAUAGAUUUAAUCAGUUUUCUUGGUUCUGGAUCUGAAAUAUGUUGAGCGUGUCUUUCAGUAGUUAAAGUUUCCUGAAGAAUUUAAAAUCGACAAUAACUAUAUACACCGACUUUUUACAUCAGAAAAAUAAAUGAUAAACUUUAAGAAUUUAAAUAAUCAGCUGCGAAAUUUAAAAAGACAACAAAAAAAGUUCAUGAAGGUAUAACAUUUUUCAAGAAUUAGUCAAUUUAGAAAAUGAUGGUUGUUAUAUAAAAAAACAAAGAAAUUAAUAUCAACUUUUAUUAUUAUAAAAAUGAAAAUUUGUUAAUAAUUAUGCAUUAAAGAUCCCUAGAUGUUGUCUGUUUAAAAUUUGGGCAUGUGGUUAUCAGUCCCUGAGUUCGCCUGAAGCCGAGGCGCCGACAGGAGGGCCAAGCGAUGUGAACGCGACAGCCAUCAUGCUGAAACAAGGCUGCAAAACCUUCGCCAAUUUGUUGAUUGACACCGGAGCCGACACGACUUUCCAGGAAAACGUUGACGGAGGACUAACGGUGUUCUGUCCCACCGACGAGGUUCUAGACAGUUUCAUGCCCAGAUACAAGAACUUGACGGGUCCCCAUAAGGUGGCUUUACUCUUGUAUCACGGCGUUCCCGUUUACCAGUCUCUGCAGACACUGAGGUCGAGUAACGGAAUCAUAAACACCCUGGCAACCGACGG
rnacentral:lncRNA from 1 species